UAGAUUUCGCACAGUUCGAACUGCAGGGGUGUUUUUGCUUUUGUAGCACUUCUAUAUUACCACCCACGACCCUAGGGCUGCUCUUUGAGCUUGCCACUGCAGGGAGAAGGUAAAGGGAGCUCCUCUAUGCUUCUCUUUGAUUUUGAUCUCAUUUUUGGCUUGGGAUUAAAGGUUUAACCUCUCUUUUUCCCUCUUGGUGCAUUUUCCCCCCAUGGAUGAAGCUUGGAGCUUGGGUUUAUGCUUGGUUGAGGGUUGAUCCUUGGAGUUUGAGGACUUUGAGCUUCGUUUGAAGCUUCUAAGAGGCUUUUGAACCCAAAUUGGUUGGAUUUGAACCUUCCCUGGGCUUGGAUUGGAAGGGAUUUAGCCCUCUUUUGGAGCUUGAGAGAGAUUUUCCACACAUUAAGGUAUUUUGAGACUCGGGGACAACUUUGUUCGGCGAAACGAGACCCUACGCGACGGUUCGG